ACGAUUGAAUCUUCCUAAAAUAAUAACAAGUUCCCACAUGCAGAAUCGAGGCCAAGAAGCUAAGACUCUGUAAAGAUCGAAUCUAGAUGGUUAGAUUAUUUUAUCAGGAGAGCAACAAGAGAGACGGCGAGACAGACAGAGGGGUUGAGCGUUUGUCAGAUCUGUGUAUUUAAGGGAAAGAAAGAAUGGACGGUGGAGAUUUGAUUGGUGGGAGGGGUAGAUAGUAGAAA